rnacentral:rRNA from 1 species
CCUACGGGUGGCAGCAGUGGGGAAUAUUGCACAAUGGGGGAAACCCUGAUGCAGCGACGCCGCGUGAAUGAAGAAGUAAUUCGUUAUGUAAAGCUCUAUCAGCAGGGAAGAAAAUGACGGUACCUGAGUAAGAAGCCCCGGCUAACGACGUGCCAGCAGCCGCGGUAAUACUUAGGGGGCAAGCGUUAUCAGGAUUUACUGGGUGGAAAGGGAGCGGAGACGGCAGUGCAAGUCUGGAGGGAAAGGCGGGGGCUAAACCCAGGGACUGCUCUGGAAACUGGUCGGCUGGAGUGCAGGAGAGGUAAGUGGAAGUCCAAGUGUAGCGGUGAAAUGCGUAGAUAUUAGGAGGAACACCAGUGGCGAAGGCGGCUUACUGGACUGUAACUGACGUUGAGGUUCGAAAGCGUGGGGAGCAAACAGGAUUAGAUACCCUAGUAGUC